GGUCAGAGCAGUUUCCAUGGGGGCAUGAAGAGAGCAACCCAUUGGAGGACAUGUAUGAAGGUGAGGAACUGGAGGAGAUCCGCAGAGACAGUUCCCUGAGAGGUGACCGUUUAAGAUCGGUGGGGAGACGGCACUUCAUAGAAGAUACAUAAGCAGAGAAAGAAAGGAGGUUUUCUGUUUUGUUUUAAUAAUCCAUGAUACUACGUGGUGUUAACUUGCACAUGGUAAUGGUGGAGGGGAGGGGAAAGAGAGAUUGAUUCAUUAUAUAAAAGGGAAAAGAAAGUUUUUAGGAAAAUUCUUCAGAAAGCAAAAAAAGGAUGGUUUAGGAUUCUAUCUUGUCUAUUUUUCUGUUGCUAAUAACACAGUACUGCAGACUGGGUAAGUUACAAAGAAUGAGCUUUAUUUUGGCUCAUGGUUCUGUCCAAGGAUGCAGGGAUAUGUCUGGUGAUGGUCUUCUUGUUUUCAGAGUUUUGAAGUAGUGCAGGAUGUCAUAUAACAAGAGAUAGGAAGAGAGGGGCCUAGCCAAACUGGCUUCUAAGGCUGGUCUUUUCUUGCAAUAACUCAUUAAUCCAUUUAUGGCUUGAGUGGGUCAAAUCUAUUCAUAAGGACAGAAUUCUAAUCACUUCUUUUAUUUUAUUUUUUAAAUUUUUUAUUCUAAUUUGUUUUAUAUGACAGCAGAAUGCAUUGCAAUUCAUAUUACACUAUAUAGAGCACAAUUUUUCGUAUCUCUGGUUGUAAACUUCUUAACAGUCCUAACUCAUCCUGCUUCUUAACAUCUCACUAAAGGGCUUCAAUUUCAAUAUGAGUCUUCAGAGGAAAAACCAGAUUAAAAUCAUAGCAGAUUCAGGACCCAUUUGGAACAUUUGAUCUUUGGUAAAAUUAGGGCCAUUGCGUCCAUAGAAAAAAGAGGUAGAUAAAAGUGGGGGUAUGCAUUGGGCUUAUAAUUUCUGUGUUGGGAAAACCAAGAAUAUUCCUAAACACAUAUUUCCAUUUUUCUCAAUGAGUGAGGCAGAUUUGCCAGUCGAGUGUGUACAUGUGUAUUGGGAGUGAUUCAUUUUUGAAUAUCCAGAAGACAGGAAAACAUCUGGAGUCAUUUCUGAGAUAUCACAUAACAUUGGUAUAGGAAAAUGCAGGUGAAGGUGUAUCAGCCCAUCUAAGAGUGGAUCAGGGAAACUGUGAGUUUCCUUGUGGCUACUCCACUGAUGAAUGACAAACAUGGGGAGGAGUAGAUGGGAGGAUGACCAAAGCUGGUAUUGCCAGGAGAAGGCAAUAAGAAGGAGAGUGGCAGGGAGUGAAGGCCAAUAAUAUAUUAACUAGGAUUACAGAGCUCUAAAUCACAAAGACCAAUACUAGAGUGGCUUGAACAGAUUGAAAGUUUCUUUUGCAGGAGGUAGGUGACCUGGACACAGUAGGGUAGCUCACUUAGUUCAAUGUGGUCCUGAGACACUCUGACUUUGCCAUCCUUGGGUUGCAGCAUUACCUGCCUGGUCUGAAGAGGCAACUAGGGUACCAGUCCUUAUAGUCAUGUUCCAAACAGCAGGAUGAGAAAAAAUAACAAAGAAAGUGGAAAGCACACAUUAAGAAACACUCCUGGAAGCUGCCACAUGACAAUUCCCUUCACAUUUCAUGCAUUCAACUUCAUUAUAGAAGUCAUCUGAGCAGUCAUUUGUCGAGAUGAAACAAGGAGGCCAUAUUUCUGAGGAAUGUUAGGGGACAGAACGCAAAAGGGAAAUUAUCCAUCCAUCUCCCUAGGAGGAUGACAGUUGAUGAGGAUGAUGUGUGAGGCCAAUAGGUUGAAGCAUCUAUGACUUCAGAUAUUUUCUGUGCAAGAGUCUAGAAGGAGCAGACUAUUGUGGGCAGCCUGGGGCCUAUGGCGUUGACAUUCUGGUAGCAGUGUGUGAGUCAAAGAAGGGAAGUUAUUAGAAGGAAAGAGGCCCGCAGACUUUGAUGGAGCUUGCUGUGAGCCCAGGUAAAUGAGUGUUGGAGGAACCCUUUCCUCAAAGCUCCUACUAGUUUCUACAAUGGAAAGAAUUUUGGAUUCAUCUCUGUUGACAUCUAACUGAAAACUAAGAAGAAACUUUAAUUGUGUAUUCAAUCAUUUGCUCAUCAGACAUUUAUUGACUCCUAAACAUUGUGUUAAUCCCUAGAAAUCAGUUAAUAUGAGGCUCUUCACCUCUGCUUCUUAAGAGAGAUCACUA
rnacentral:lncRNA from 1 species